GGGAGUAUGGUUUAGGGGUAUAACAUCUCAUUUGCAAGUUGACUUCCGUCAAUGAAGAUUUUGAGAAGGUCCGGGGUUCGAUUCCCCGUGCUUCCA
rnacentral:tRNA from 1 species